rfam:Betaproteobacteria bacterium RIFCSPLOWO2_12_FTLL_62_58 rifcsplowo2_12_scaffold_813, whole genome shotgun sequence.
CUGAGGGGGAAGCGAUUCCCUCUGACCGCGAGGAAGAAGUCUGCAGAGGGUAUAGUAGGUCUUGGUUUUCUGAGGACUGAAGGCC